rnacentral:misc_RNA from 1 species
CACCAACAGGGUGGAAGUGUGGAAUUGUGAUGUGGACCACACCUGCACAUCAGGCUACCCCAAGGUUGUUACAGUUGUUGAUGCGAGAGAUGUAGACGAGUGGUUCUUAACCUUUUUGGAGUCAUGGACCCUAUUGAAAGUCUUGUGAAAGCUACGGAUCCCUCCCAAGUAAAAUGCAUAAUGGAGAAGGGAUGGAACGCUUGUGGUCGUAUCUGAGACGUUUCAACCGCAUCACAAAAGAAAUGACCCCCGACCAUCAUCGUGUGGCACUACUAGAUGAUGCUUUGCUUCACUACUCAGAAUACCUCAGGAACCAAAUGGGAGAAACGCUGAUGCAUCGCUACAUAAAAGCGCAGACAACCGGGAGUAACUGUGAUCAGGAACUUGAGCAGCUAACGUCAAGCUUGUCAGAAUCUUUCCUCAUGGUGCAAGUGGAGCUGCCACUACCUCACAGUGAUUACCUCACAGUGAAGACUUUUAGUUGGGGAUUCGCAUCCAUGUUCUUUAGAUGGAAGACACUUACUUGUGUUUUCCCAGGAUUGGCACGUAGAUGGUUUGCAGUGUAGUAAGUGGUUAGACUAGCAGAGGAUGCUUCAUUGUGGAAGGCCAUUCUUCUGUCUAAGCCAUCUGCUGCAGUUACCAUUGAGAUCCACGAGAAACCGCCUGUUUGCCAACAGGUUCUUGAUCAGAUUUGUCAGUCUCACAUCCUUUACUUGCUGGUAUAGUUUUUUUGGUAAGGGGUCGAUGGUUGACUGCGUCGUAAGCUGUGGAGAAGUAAAAUGCUAUAGUGUGUAAAUUGUUAAGUAAAUACAUACAUCGAUUAUUUUGUGUGUAUGUUAUUAAUGUUCUUGUAUUAGCUGUAAGGGUAUAUCUCGUCUUGGUUUUUGUACUAACCAUAGCAAUUAUUGCCUUAAAAUCUGUGUUCAUGUGGAUAUAAAAUAUGUAUGCUUUAAAUCUGUGCAUAUAAGUUGUAUUGUUUUUGCAGUUGCCAGAAGCAAAAGUGUUAUUAUUUCAACAAGUGCGCUCAACGCUAAGAAGUUUCAAUUUAACUUGUUGGAUGUUUCUGACUAUUAUAAUUAUAUAUGCAGACACCUUACUUACUGAGAUGUCAAAACAUCUUCUUAAAAUAUAACCUAGCUGUGAUCUCGUGAAUAAUCUGUACGUUGAUGUUAGUUGUAGAUAGUUAUAGAUGUAACUUGUGCCAGUCAUAUAGUUUUUUUAACUGCUUGAGGAGAACUUAAUUGCUGUAAAAUGUUACAAUAAGUAAAUUGAUUAAUAAACUUUUAUCUGUGAAAAACAUUGCCAUUCUAUCAAUACACUUAUGUUCAGCUAAAGA